UGAUUAUUCUUAAACUGAAUAUUUUUGUCCUUUCUAAUUUUAUUUCAGUUUCCUAUAAAGUUUUAAUUAUUACAAAUAAUCUUCCACUUAUAAUGAAGUUCAGCUAUUUUGCACUUUGCCAGAAGAGAAACAGCAAACAAAUGUUGGCUGUUUCUUCUUCUUUCAGGAUGAACAGCCAACAAUCCUAUUGCUUCAAAUCUCAUCAUCAUUUUUUGGAUCUCUUCAAAGGCCCUUCAAAUUUGAAAAUUUCCACAAAGCUACUGCUAUGGAAUCGGUAUUUUGAUAAAAGAGUUUUGCUAGCAAAGUGCAAUCUUGUAAACUG
rnacentral:lncRNA from 1 species